rnacentral:rRNA from 1 species
CAGUAGCCGCGGUAAUACGAAGGGGGCUAGCGUUGUUCGGAAUUACUGGGCGUAAAGCGCACGUAGGCGGAUCGAUCAGUCAGGGGUGAAAUCCCAGGGCUCAACCCUGGAACUGCCUUUGAUACUGUCGAUCUGGAGUAUGGAAGAGGUGAGUGGAAUUCCGAGUGUAGAGGUGAAAUUCGUAGAUAUUCGGAGGAACACCAGUGGCGAAGGCGGCUCACUGGUCCAUUACUGACGCUGAGGUGCGAAAGCGUGGGGAGCAAACAGGAUUAGAUACCCGAGUAGUCCCUGUCUCUUAUAC